rnacentral:rRNA from 1 species
UACGUAGGGGGCGAGCGUUGUCCGGAGUUACUGGGCGUAAAGGGCAUGUAGGCGGUCUGCUAAGUUCGGAGUGACAGUCACCAGCUUAACUGGUGAAGGACUUCGAAAACUGGCGGACUUGAGAGCGAAAGAGGGACACGGAAUUCCGGGUGGAGCAGUGAAAUGCGUAGAGAUCCGGAGGAACACCAAAGGCGAAGGCAGUGUCCUGGCUCGUUUCUGACGCUGAGGUGCGAAAGCCAGGGGAGCGAACGGG